rnacentral:lncRNA from 1 species
AGGUGCGGGUGAAGAUGGCGGCAGCCGAGGCCGCGAACUGCAUCAUGGAGAAUUUUGUAGCCACCUUGGCUAAUGGGAUGAGCCUCCAGCCGCCUCUUGAAGAAGUAAAUAUCCUUUUGUGAGACCCCUCCCCACCCUGACCUCCACAUCAAUAUAUCUUGCCACACAUCUGGCCCUUUCUUGAGGUCUAACCAUACCCCUCUUGCUUCAAACCAGUUUACCCCAGGCCCCCAGACACUUAGUAGCAACCCCUCCAGGUUCACAGCCCCCGCUGGCCUCCCCCAGUAUCGCCGCUACU